ensembl:lncRNA
CUUCCCUGCCACUUUUACCCUGAAGCUUACAGUCCUGGUGAGACCAAGCCUUUUCUUAGGGUCUGUGGCAAAGAUACCUUGGUAUACAGUUGCCCUGGAAUUUGUUCAGACUUGGGAUGAGACUGAUUCUGAGAAGCACCGACAAGUUCCUUACGUUCCUGGGGGUAACGGAGUCUUCUCAAUUACUCUCUUCACCUGAGGCCCAACCUUACACCACCCAUCCUUCCCUUACUUACCAGCAGGGUCUUCAGCACUGAGCCAAAGACUUUCUGGAAAAUGCACUAAAGUCAGCCCGCAGAAGGGUUAGUCUUUGGCUCUGUCUCCAGCAAUUCUGAACCACUUUGGAAGAUGCAAGCUCAGGAAGGACGGUGAGAACAUUAGAUGGCAAAAUGAGGAGUCAAAACAGGUUAGUGAGGGAUAAGGCAAGUCAGAUAAGUGUGAAUAGUGAUAAAUGCUAAGUUUUGCAUGUUGGUCCAAAAAAACGAAUCGGCCAAGAACAGAAUGAAAUGUAGCAGAUGUUUUAGGAAGAGGGAGUUAGCGUAUGUGUCCUGAGGCCUCAUGGACUUAGCUUCUCAGUUUUCAAAGUUCAACAGGGGUAUUUACUUUUAUUUUAUUUUAUUUUUGCAGCCCUGGAAUUGAACUCAGGCUUUUGUUUUUUGAAACAGGGUCUUGCUAACUCACUAAGUUGCCCAGGCUAGGCUAAAACUUGUGAGACUCUUGCCUAAAUCUCCCAGUGUGCUGGAAUUAUAGGCAGACAGUGCUGUGUUCUGCUUGGGCAGAACCUUAUUUAUUUUAAUGCCGGAGAUUUAGCUCAGUAGUUUUGCUGCCUGCUGUGCAAGUGCAAGGACCUGAGUUUGAUCCCCAAUAACAAAAAAAAAACAUUUAUUGUGAAGACCGGAUCUAGAUGCUCACAGAAGUGGGUGCACAUUGUCUCGUAUUCAUUCAUCCAUCCAUGUGUUCAGCUGCAUCUAUGGAAUCCCUACUUUGUUCCAGUCUGGUAAACAGAGAUUUAAAACACAACUUACACUGCUGUAUUAGAGUGAGAGCACUAUUCUACCCAAUCGGAGUAGGGGAAAGGUAGAGGAUGGUGAAGUUCAGAGAAUUUGUUUUUGUUGUUGUUAUUUUUUUUUUUAGAAUUGGUGAGACAUGAAGCCUGAGUUGGAAAUAUAAAGAGCAGUAGGAGCUUGUGUUACUGGGAAAACUGAAGGAUAAAGGACAGGUGAGAUGUUUCAGGACAAGAAAACAAUGUGUAUAUAGCAUGGGUUUCAGAGUGUAAUCUGCAAGGUUAAAAUAUUUUCAGGUCUUUUCAUAAUAUUGUUAGACAUUUUCUGCGUGUGUGUGUGUGUGUGUGUGUGUAUUUGAGCGCUGGGAACGAACACAGGGCCUCAGCUCUACUAGGGAAGCACUCUACCAUUGAGCUACAUUCCCAGCUCCAUUUAUUGUCCUCUAUUACUCUCAUCCUUUCACAAGUUUACGGUAGAGGUUUCCAGAGGCUCCUUCAUGACAUGUGCCGUCAUACCAAGUUGAACACAGAAGCCAGUGUGAGAAUCUAACUGUUUUCUAUUACACCAGACAAUAAAGAGC